rnacentral:lncRNA from 1 species
GACAAAUCCGCCGUAUACAAAGGAAUUUUUUCUAUAUACGAAGCGACAGCUGUACCUGUAAAACAUACAAUACUACAAAUAGUAGUAUAGAGCUGCUAGAAGAACUAGUAAAGUAAAAGAAACCGAGUUCCAUAUACAUACACUGAAUCCCAGAGUACAAAACUACUCGCGCUGGCGAGUUAAAAGUCUGUAUGUACAUGAACCCAAACCAAAACAUCUACCUGCAGUAGGGGUGCCUCUAGCUCUGCUCCUCGGGUAGGGCUCUAACUCGCGACGCCCUUGCUUAGAUCCUGAUCAGCAACAGCAGCAGCCGAAGACGAAGGCUCUGCAAAAACGGGAGUAACAACUGAGCGUGAGAACUACUGUAAAAACAAGUAGUCCUCAGUGGGUACCGCCCAAAACCACAUCGGUCCACCCACUAAGUCUACAGAAGGGAGCAAGAAUAGUCAGAAAAGCAGAAAGUAAACUCUACCGCUAUCAAUCACUACACUAUCAUGCUCUACACUAACUAAUUGUAGGAAAUGUCAAAUCUGACGCAAUCCAAUCGGGACUGUAAGCCUACCCGUCCCUGGGACUGUGAAUACACCCGUCCCUGCCCAGUUGCGACUAUCCAGCUCCAUCCACACUAACUGGUCCGUGGAGAGCAAGUCCAACCGGCAUGAGCGACACCAACGCGAAAGCACAAAGCCCGACUCCGGAGUGGCACUCGUGGGCGCUACCCAACCGAGUAUGCAGCGUAUCUCUGUCAAGCACAAACAGGCUCCAACUAGCCAAAGUCAAGUGAACAGGGUCAAAACAGGUCUACAAACCAACCCACGUGCCAUCGGCACAAUCUGUGACCAAAAUAAGAAUCUGGGUCCACCGCUAAUCCGAACGGCACCCAACGACCCGAAAUAGUCUAAACUCUGCUGAAAAAAGCAAGCUCGACACCCCAGCACGAGCGUAAAUGCCUUCUAACUACCCCAGAUAUCCAUCGCACUGAUACUGCAACGAUACAAUCGAACCAC